CCGCUUUUAGCUCAGUGGUCCAGCGUUGGCUUUGGAAGCCACAGGUCGGUGGUUUGAAGCCACCAGGGCACA
rfam:Phytophthora infestans T30-4 supercont1.95 genomic scaffold, whole genome shotgun sequence.